rnacentral:tRNA from 2 species
GGGGGCAUAGCUCAGGGGCAGAGCAUUUGACUGCAGAUCAAGAGGUCCCUGGUUCAAAUCCAGGUGCCCCCU